rnacentral:rRNA from 1 species
UACGAAGGGGGCUAGCGUUGUUCGGAUUUACUGGGCGUAAAGCGCGUGUAGGCGGGUCGUUAAGUUGGGGGUGAAAUCCCGAGGCUCAACCUCGGAACUGCCUUCAAAACUGGCGACCUGGAGCAAAGAAGAGGCGAGUGGAAUUGCGAGUGUAGAGGUGAAAUUCGUAGAUAUUCGCAGGAACACCAGUGGCGAAGGCGACUCGCUGGUCUUUGCUGACGCUGAGACGCGAAAGCGUGGGGAGCAAACAGG